rnacentral:rRNA from 1 species
AGAAUUUUAAUGGUCGAACAGACCAACCCUUAAAGACUUCUGCACCUUUAGGAUAUUCUGGUCCAACAUCGAGGUCACAAACCUUUUUUUCGAUUAGAACUCUCAAAAAAGAUAAUGCUGUUAUCCCUACGGUAACUAUUUCCAUUAAUCAUAAUUAUAUGGAUCAAAACAAGAAUGUUAGAAAGUUAUAAAGAAGCUUUAUUUGUUCCUUAGUCGCCCCAACUAAAAUUUUCAAUAAUUAUUUUUUACAAAGUAUGAUUUUAUUUUAUUGAUUUUUUUAAAGCUCGAUAGGGUCUUCUUGUCUUUUAAUUUAAUUCAGACUUCUUCAUCUAAAAAUAAAAUUCUAUAAAAUUAAAAAGAGACAGCUUUGCUCUUGUGAGACCAUUCAUUCUAGUCCUCAAUUAUAGGACAAGUUAUUAUGCUACCUUAGCACAGUUAAGAUACUGCGGCCGUUAAAAAAUCACUGGGCAGGCCGGACUCUUUAUAUAAUAUUUUCAAAGAGCC